GGCCCUAAGAAUGAGUGUCUAGACAAUGUCUCUUGCUUGGGAAGAGGUAAACUAACAGAUAGUUUCUGCAAAGGCUUGUCAAUCUGCGCGGAGUUUGGAGAUGAAGNNNNUGAUUGUUGCCGUACUUCCAUGAAGAUUGGGGUGCCACAACAGAGGGCCGCUUAAUGUUGAUGCUUGAGUAAGAAGCUUUCUUAACAGAGGGCCAUUUUGAAGAAGAAGGCUCAGAACCAUAUAAAGUCCUUUCUGGGUCAUCAAGUUCAAGUAGUUGAGUUCUAGCAUAAGCUUUGUUCAGCUCGUCAACUUGACGUUGGAAUUCUGGCUUCAAAGCUUCAAGCUCAUCCAAUACAGUAAACAAUCUCUUCCUAUAAGCUGCUCUUUCCUUUGGAAGCAAAACCUGAUAAUCUCG
rnacentral:misc_RNA from 1 species